rnacentral:rRNA from 1 species
ACUCCUACGGGAGGCAGCAGUGGGGAAUAUUGGACAAUGGGGAACCCGUAGCAUCCAGCCAUGCCGCGUGUGUGAAGAAGGCCUUCGGGUUGUAAAGCACUUUCAGUGGGGAGGAAAGGUUGAUGGUUAAUACCUAUCAGCUGUGACGUUACCCACAGAAGAAGCACCGGCUAACUCCGUGCCAGCAGCCGCGGUAAUACGGAGGGUGCAAGCGUUAAUCGGAAUUACUGGGCGUAAAGCGUGCGCAGGCGGUCUGUUAAGCGAGAUGUGAAAG